UGGGGAAUAUUGCACAAUGGGCGCAAGCCUGAUGCAGCCAUGCCGCGUGUGUGAAGAAGGCCUUCGGGUUGUAAAGCACUUUCAGCGAGGAGGAAGGUGGUGAGCUUAAUACGCUCAUCAAUUGACGUUACUCGCAGAAGAAGCACCGGCUAACUCCGUGCCAGCAGCCGCGGUAAUACGGAGGGUGCAGGCGUUAAUCGGAAUUACUGGGCGUAAAGCGCACGCAGGCGGUUUGUUAAGUCAGAUGUGAAAUCCCCGGGCUCAACCUGGGAACUGCAUUUGAAACUGGCAAGCUAGAGUCUCGUAGAGGGGGGUAGAAUUCCAGGUGUAGCGGUGAAAUGCGUAGAGAUCUGGAGGAAUACCGGUGGCGAAAGGCGGCCCCCUGGACGAAGACUGACGCUCAGGUGCGAAAGCGUGGGGCAGCAAACAGGAUUAGAUACCCUGGUAGUCCACGCUGUAAACGAUGUCGAUUUUGGAGGUUGUGCCCCUUGAGGCGUGGNUUCCGGAGCUAACG
rnacentral:rRNA from 1 species